CCAGAUUACAUUUGUUAAUAAAAUAAAUAUGACUGAAAUAAGCAAGAUAGUAAGAAUAAUAGACGCAGAAAAUAAUUUUGAAUACCACAUUGAAGUUAAACCGUAAGAAUACGAAAGAGCCCAAACAGACAUGAUCUUUGCAACCAAACUGCUUGAAGAAAAUCUGAGAGCUCGAUAAAUUCAGGAGCUCCUCUAGGCUCCCAAGAAAUAAAUUCUGCAGGCGAUAGUGGAUCUGAUACAACAGAAGGCCAUCAUGUUUGGACAGAGCAAUCCACAAAAUUUUUCUUAUGUAGUUACAGAGACAUGUAAAUGGAUUCCUUGAAGAGAACCUAUAUAGCCAUAAAAGAUAAUAAUAGCAAAUCUGGUAAUAGCCCCAAAUCAUGGAUUUAUUUUAAGGACAUGGAUGACAUUUGGAAAAAAAGGCUUGGGCCAAUCCUCUCUCAACUAUGGCAUCCACUUCAAGAAGUGAAGAUGAUUUGGCAAACGAGACAUUAACUGCUACAGAAACAGGUACAUAAAAUGUAAUGUAAAUAUGAAUUAUUCAUUCUAUAGGGUCAAGUGGGGUAAUUGUAAAUGGAAUAUGUAAUUUUUAUAAAUGUCAAUAUUUUUAAAUAUAUUUGUAAAUCAAGUUUUUUGCAGUUUUAUGGAAUUAUGGUUCAUUUACAAUUACCCGGUGCUAUUUACAAUUUCUCCUGAUAUUUGGGGUAAAUGUAAAUUAGUUUUAGUCUAAAUAUGGGUGAUAAUGUUUCAAAACAAAGGAUAAUUGGAAACAAAUGGGCCGAUAAUAAUUUUUCCUUGACUAACAUUAUGAUAGUUUUAUAUCAAGAUCUGUCAUUUACAAUUACCCCAUGUGCAAU